rnacentral:tRNA from 1 species
GGUGGGGUGGCUGAGCGGUUGAAAGCGGCAGUCUUGAAAACUGUUGUCCCGAUGCCUCGGGACCGUGAGUUCGAAUCUCACCCCCACCGCCA